GCCUACUAGCUCAGUUGGCAGAGCACGAGACUCUUAAUCUCACAGUCAUGGGUUUGAGCCCCAUGUUGAGAGACA